GGAAAAUGUGGCCUCCUGGGACUGUCAGUGGUGUGGUCCCCACAUCCUUAGUUGUACACAUAACAUGCUUACCGUGUGCUUGCUUUGAGUCCCUUCUGAGCUCCCAUGCAAUGUAGACUCAUCGGAAUCCCGUGCUCAUGGGAUUUUAUGAACACUAUAUGCAAAUAGGACAGCAAGAAAUGGCAGUAAACGCUUUUAUUGUUGCUAUCUCCUCUGCUCCUGCACAUGCUCCAUGGUAUCGUUGGACUUCACUUACAAAACACAGAUACAAAGACAAAAUUACUAAGAAUUACCAAGAAUUUUAAUUUCAAGAUGGCAACAGAGUAUUAAACCAAAGAUGAAGUCGUUCUGAGUGUGGGGUUUGCGAGAUGGCACAGGUGGCACUCCCAGGAGCUCGUCUUGGCCAGGUCGCACCCUUGAGUCCAUUGGAACCUGAAUCUCACCCUGCUCUGCUAUGCUAUACUGACUCCAGCUGAAUUCAAGGAGUUACAGUUUGAAACUCUCCAGACUCCAGUGGCCAUCCCACUUGUGAUCACUUGCUCUGAGGGAGGACAUCUGCUGUAUCAUGAGGACGCAAAACCAUCCCAUGGAGGGUGCUACAUGCAGAGCAGCUGAGGCCUCCUGCUAGUUGUCAGUGAGGAACCGAGGCUUCUUGCCAAUGGCCAUCCUUACUGAAGUCUGCCCUGGGGACAAAUUGGAAACCUAUAACCUUAGGACAGCAAGCCAGCUGAAAUUUUGAGAGCCACCUUAUAGAAAGCCUAACAGCAAAGACUGGAGAGAGGCUUCCAGCCAACAGCCAGCAAGGAAUUGAAGCCCUCAGUCCAAUAGCAGUGAGGAAUUGAAUCCUGCCAACAGCCUCGUGGACCGACUGCUUCAUGCUGGGCUUCAGACAUGAGAGGCUAGGAGUAGGAGGCAUGCCUUGUUCAAAGGUCUUAAAUGUGGGAAAUAGUCUACAGUUUGGAAGACACCAGAGAAAAAUGCUCCACAGCUCGCCCUGGUGACUCACUACAACUUAUGGGAAGAUGUGAGAUUAUUCUGUAUUCUAAUGUAUGUUAGAAGGCACACUCCACCCAAAGCCUUCCUGUGUGUUCCUCCCUGUGAGCUCACAUCCCGUUCACCAGCUGACUGGGAAGGGAAGUCAGGACCAGCCCUGACCCCAUCACACCAUCAUAACCUCGGGAUGGCAGGGCUGGAAGGCACCUCAGACGUCAUCCUUUGCAGACUCUUCAUUUUACAGUGAGAGGCAUGACGUGUCCACAGCUGGUUAGUGCCAAAGCCUGGGACAGGCUUCACAUUGUCCAGCUCUUAGUCAGAGCACUGUUGACAAUGUCUGCCUUCACUUGGAAUUCAGCACCUGCUUUCAGUAUAAACCCCUGCAUUUCACUAAAACUGAGCAGACUGCUGGUUUAAAAAAGAGAGGUCCAUCCAGCAGGGAUGAUGCUUUUCCUCGUUGAAAGAGGACAUUCACCUAAUGGGAGACCUGGAGUCAGAAUCUUUCUGAUGUGUGACUUGGCACAGUAACACAAUGCAGGAUGCUGGUGUGUUAAUAAAAAUAAAAAUUGCAUCGCCUACCUCAGAGUCGACAACAAUGUCAAGGAGUUAAUAGUCUUGGCAACACAGAGGCCACUGGACAGAGGCAUAACCUUGCGUGGCAGCUGCACGGGAAUUGGAUUUGGCUCAGGUGUUUCAGAUGACUAAGAACAAAGGGGACCACUCUUGGUAUAGAAGUUCAUCUCGUCGGGAGCAUCUGUGGUUCUUUUAUAAGCAAUGUACAUUCUACAAUAGAGGCAGACCCAGAAAUAAUUCAGAUAUUGGAGUUAGAAGAUCAGGAUUCUAAAAAAACCAAAAGAUCCUGCCUUACUAUGCACCUAUGGCCCUUCAAAGGCGAGAGUAGAAUCUGCUAUGAUUUAGAAGCAAGCAAUAAAAAGUACACAUCAGGGGCAGAGUAAGUAUUUGUGAACAUUGGAUGGUGAUGAAGAAAAGGAAAUGGUGUCUAGUAUCCUACCUGGCCUCAUGGACCAAGACUAGAAGGAUUAGAGGCAAAGUCGAAGGAAGCUGCCACCAUAAAGGGUUCUGUGAAUGCUGUUUGGCUGAAAUGUGUGACAAAGCACUGGGAAGGGUUUCAUUGCAUUAGCUCAGGCCAUAGCACGACCCUUAACCAACACCUUAAGGUGAUGGUCCCCUUGGCAUAAAUAUUGGUGUUAAAAUCGAGGUUAACCUUAGUGAUAGUAUGGUUAAGAGUCCCCUGCAUGACUUUGGAAGUUGAAGAUGCUGAUCAGGAGAACUAGAGCAGGAAAGAGAAAAUAUGACUGAGGCUAAGUGGUGACUUGGUAUUGACUGAUAGGUGAACACAGGAAUGAAUUUCAGCGAGAACCCCCAGUAACUGUCUGGGGAGUGGAGACUGUGUAUGAACAGGACAGAAAAAAAAGCAGAUUCGGGUAGUGUCCUGUCGUGUGUCUCUUUUACAGUCCUGAAAUGAAGGACUUUCAGUGUUUUCAUUGAGCACCAAUCAAUUCCCUCUUUACAAAAGACCAUAUUGGAACAGCAUCAAGGUUUAGGGAUAUUAAAGCAAUACAGUGACACUGGAAUGACCACUGAGAACCAGCGAACUUCUUCAGCCCUUAUAUCCUCAGGCACUCUGGAAGCCAUGAAUCUGGUUUUCUUGCUAAACUGUGUGUACUGCACAGAGUACAAUGGUAAAGGAACAAAUAUUGGCUCUAAAAUCUCUUGUAAAGGGAAGGGUGGUCAUCCCUUUAGAUGGCAAAUUGAGUUUCUGUAAUGGGGUUUGCUCUGAUGUUGCAUUUCCACUCAGGCAUCAAGACAUUCUGUUGUUUAAAGCCCUAGAUGGGUGAUAUUUCUUUCAUGUGCAAGGCCCGAAUGCUUCACUGAGCUCUCUCUUACCCACACACACUCAUUUAAACCUUGGUCAAAAUUAUCCUUUAGCAUCUGCAUCUUCUCAGAAGGCGGAAGGGUCAAUGGGGAUAAUCAGGAGAGAUGAGGUGCACUUUCAGAAGUUGGAGCUGAGAAGGUGAUGGAAGUAUCUGUAAAGUCGUUGAACAGCUGCACGAACUAUAGGGGAAGCAUUUCUGGAGGCAAAAGGGGAAUAGCCCUUUCCUCUUAAACCAAAGCGAGCACAGCUCCAAAGGCACUUAGAUGGAGAGUUCAUCGGAAUGUGAGCUCUAAGAGUGGCUGAGAAUCUGACAAAAACAGCCAUCUGCCAACCCAAAAUUAAAACUCCUCUGUUUAGCACCCAGUAGAGAAAGUCAACCAGAUUGACUUCGCAAACAAAGGACCUUAAAAGCAUCACCUAAGAAAGUGUGUCAGGAUCCACAGACAUCCAGAGCAUUCUCUAUGGUUCAUUACUUACAUUAUUCUUAUCUAUUUACACAUAAUGUUUAGAUGUAAAAUCCUUACAAUGAAAAGGGUGUAUAUGCUUUAAAAAAGGCACAACAGGGAUCUAGAACUAGAAAUACCAUUUGACCCAGCCAUCCCAUUACUGGGUAUAUACCCAAAUGAGUAUAAAUCAUGCUGCUAUAAAG
rnacentral:lncRNA from 10 species